UACGAAGGGUGCAAACGUUGCUCGGAAUUAUUGGGCGUAAAGCGCACGUAGGCGGCUUGGCAAGUCGGAUGUGAAAUCCCUCGGCUCAACCAAGGAAGUGCAUCCGAAACUGCUGAGCUUGAGUACUUAAGAGGAUCGCGGAAUUCCCGGUGUAGAGGUGAAAUUCGUAGAUAUCGGGAGGAACACCAGUGGCGAAGGCGGCGAUCUGGGAAGAUACUGACGCUGAGGUGCGAAAGCCAGGGGAGCGAACGGG
rnacentral:rRNA from 1 species